rnacentral:lncRNA from 1 species
GAUCAAUGUUAAUCUACGUUGAUUAUCACAUCGCAUAUUCUCGUAAGUCAGCGAUGUAAAUCCUCGCUGCACACAUAUAACUCAUGAUGGAAUGAAUUAAUGCUCGAAACAAAAAAAAAUCUUGAGGCAGCCAGUGGGGAAUUACUGACAUUUAAUAAACGGAAUUGUGUGUGUGAGCAGUUGGGACAGUUGGAGAGCUGAGUAGAUGAAGAUAUGUGGGUGUGACAACUCAUGGGUAUUCUCUACUUUGGAGAAAAGAAAAAAGAGAAUAUAAAUAAAAGACUUUGAGCGUCGCAUGCGCCAUCCGACGCCAUAUAGAUCUUUAACCUCAAUAAUUGGAAGC